CAUCUAGCUGGAGAGAGAAGGGACAGGUGACCCGAUCGGAGCCCAGCCCAGCCUUCGCCAUGGGGCGAGAGACAGCGAGGGGAGUCGAAGCCGGGGAGGGAAUCGGGGGAGAUCUCUGAGGGAAUCUGGUGAGACACCUUAACAGAAGGAGAUCCUGAGGCUGACUGAAGGGCUUCUGCUCCCUAGAGUCGCAAAGAGAUAUCCAUACCCCUACCAAACAGCCUGCCCACCUCCUCCGGGCGCCCUCGGGGAAGGAGGUGGAAGAGAGACUCGCCUUCCGCUCCUUGAGCCUGUAACAACUCCAUCUGCUCCUGCAACUGGCGGACGUGUGCCUCCAGGUCACGGUUCCGGGCCUCAGCUUCGCGCAGUUGACUACAAGGAAGUAAGGACGCUACAUGGCCUGGAGCUCACCAGGUAGUUCUCAUCCUGGAAGGCGAAGUGCAGCUGUGUGAUCCAGCGCCGGUCGCCAUUCACCAACACAUCCCUCUCUUCACGGAAGCAUGACACCUGCGGGGUACCCUAGGAGCUGCAGCAGGUGAAAGGGGCAGACCUUCCAGGACCUCCCACCACCAGCCCCAUCCCUACCUCGCCUCUCUUCAGCAUGUCCCACUUGUUCAUGAUCUUCAUGGCGUACACUUGGCCUGUCUGCUUCAUCUUCACCACUGCUACCUGAAGGCCGAAACAAGAUGAGAGGGGCUGAGGUGACCAGGAAAAGAGAAGGGUUCCAAACCGGACUCCAUCCCAAGUUCCAGCCAGCCGUGGCACCACCCUCCGAGACAGCACCCGCCCACUGGUCCCGAGCCCCGCCCCCAACCCAGCUCUUAGGUUCUAAGGUUCGGUCAUUCAUCAAUUUCUGAGGCUCCGCCCUGAACCUCUAUGUCCCGCCCACCACCAAUAAGUACCCACUUACGCCCGGCAGCGUUCCCACUGCUACGCGAGGCUCACCUCGCUGAAUGCUCCACGUCCUAUCACUUUCAGAAUCUCGAAGUCAUCCCUCUGCAGUCGGACCUCCUUAAGCUUCCCCACGACAGGCUCCGCUGGGGUGGGGGGAGCAGAACCCAGGGUCGCUGGGACCCACUAAAGACCCGGGGGAAAGUCCCAUCCUCUGUCCCUCAGUCUCCCCUCUCUCCACCUUUGUUUCACUUUAGGACUGUCUUCCCACGGACAUCCCCAAAUAAACACUGUGAGGUCUGAGGGACCCAAAAGUGUC